rnacentral:lncRNA from 1 species
AGUAAAUAUAUAUUUUUCAUAUAACUAAGAAUAUAUUUUUAUUUAUUUAUGAAUCUAUAAGAUAAUUUUUGAGAAAAUAAGAACUGUUAUACAAACUAUUACCUAUAACAUUAUUUCACUUCGGUAAAUGUAUGCCCAAAUUUCAUUAUAUCUAUAGAUUACCCAUUAAGAAUGGACGAAUAUUUUUUUUCAACUAUACAAAAUUAGUAAUAAAAAAGUAGUUGCUAAUUUCUUGCUAAUUAAUUUUGCCCUCAUAUUUAAUCCAUAAAAAUUACACAACACACACACACACAC